GACAGAGGGGGCAAGCGUUGCUCGGAAUUACUGGGCGUAAAGGGCGCGUAGGCGGGAUGGCAAGUCGGUCGUGAAAUCCCUCGGCUCAACUGAGGAGCGUCGAUCGAAACUGCCGUUCUUGAGGGUUGCAGAGGAGACUGGAAUUCCCGGUGUAGCGGUGAAAUGCGUAGAUAUCCGGAGGAACACCGGUGGCGAAGGCGGCUUCCUGGACCGACACUGACGCUGAGGCGCGAAAGCUAGGGGAGCAAACGGG
rnacentral:rRNA from 1 species